CGCGCUGUCGUCUAACAGGCUAGGACGUCACCCUUUCACGGUGAAGACUUACGGGUUCGAACCCCGUCGGCGCGA
rnacentral:tRNA from 1 species